UCCUCAGUCUGUGGCUAGUUCACUAUCGUGGAAGGUGAUGCUAUACUUAUUCUUAGAUUCUCUCGAGUUUCUCGAAUCCCUAAGUUUGUGUGUCUUCGCUCUUCGAGAGGCGAAAGCGAGAAGUACGCGGCUGUAGUGUACUCCAUGGAGGGAAUCAGCGAAGAGCUUGUUUCGAAAAGUGCUCGAUCCGAGGGAAGAAAUGGACUACAUUUUGGAAUAAGGAACGGCUGUCAAUGGCUCAUCUGUGAAAAACACUUAUUUUGCAUACGGGAACUAAUGGUACUAACAGGGGUCUACUUCUUUCCACUCCUCUACCACUUUCUCCCACGUAGUUCACGUAGUAUUAAUCACUUCGACUUCGAGAAUAAAUCCUUACAAUGAAUUACAAUUUUUGGCCGUUCUGGCAAAUUUACAGAGCAGAAGAGAUGACUGUGGGAUUUUCACGAACUUUAAGGUAUAAAAACUUACAUUGAAAUUUGCAAAACCUGUGAUCUAUUUUCUUCUGUAUUUUACAUUUUUUUGAGCAGUAAAUCAUUGUAAUCUCUUGUGAA